GUGCUUACUUCGGCAGCACAUAUACUAAAAUUGGAACGAUACAGAGAAGAUUAGCAUGGCUCCUGUGCAAGGAUGACAUCCCCCCAAAAAUGGCAUAAGAUGGUCAA
ensembl:snRNA U6 U6 spliceosomal RNA